AGUAGCCUGCACAAAGGGGCAGAGAAUGGAGAUAGAAAUGUGUGAUAUGUUGAGUGGGAGAAGAGAGAACAGUGUCUGUAAGAUUACCUGUUGUGAACCGGACUGUUGGAUUACCCCCUUAGUGUACCAAACUGGAUUGGCUGAGGAACAGAGUUUUAGGAUUACCCUUGGAGAUUGGAACGGACAACAAGAACAGCUUGUGGACUGAAUCCUAGAGCGUGCCAUUCACUGGCUGUAUCCAGGGAGGUCUGCAUGAGGGGAAGACCAUCACUGUGACAGGGAGAGUCCUGCCAAAUGCCAAGAGGUAUGCACUACUUUUCUCCAGCCACCUCCUCCCCAACCAGGAUAUCCUGUCCAUCCACACAGUGGUCAACAGAACCAAGCCAUGUCUCAUCAAAUUAAAUCAGGUCCCAAAACUCCUCGAUGCUGUAAUGCCACACAGGUUUUGUCAGCUGUAUUUUGUUGCCCAGGAUUUGCUCAGGUGCAUUCAAAUAAAUCAACUUUUUAGAGUUCAAAAUUUGUAGCGUAGAGGCCAUCCUCUGGAAUUUUAUUGGAG